GACUUGGGUUUUCCUGCAGGGAGUUCUAUUCCUGGGGGCUUAUUCCUGCCGGGCCUCUGUUCUGUUCCUUGGCCUGCCCAGCCUCCGCGGGCCUGACAAGGCGGAAAAUAACUGAGCCAGGCGCAGCCGCCGAGCCCUGGGGAAGGCCCGGGGCGCUCGGAGCCCUGAUUAAAAAUGCAGUGGGGUUGGCUGGUGUCAGCUGGGCCUCCUUCCAUUCUCAAUUCCACGCAACCACCCUCGCGGGCUCCUCGGAUGAGGCAGCACAUUCAAGCCCGCUGGGCACCUGCAAACAGACAAGGGAUCGGAGCAUUACACUUUGAUCCCCGCAGCUGUCACUGCGGUGAGAGGCGCACAAGCUCUCCUGUGCCCGCGCGGGCGCCUGGGGCUGGCUGGCGGCUGUCAGCGCCCGGGAUGGCUGUGGAGAAAGAGACUUUCCUAGCAGCGAAGCUCCCCCUCUGUGCCUGCCGCACGAAAAUGUAGGUGUAAUUGACCCUAUCGGGCGUGAAAACCUAACCAGCUGUAGCAUGAACCACAUUCAAGGGCCUCCAAGCGAACAGCUCACAUCCAGGGGGCCUGGCGCCCACCAGUCAACGAUCAUCGAUCAUCGAAUGUAACCGCCCCCAUGAACGUCGGAUCCGGCAGCUGAUCUCAACACCGGCAGGUGUCAGACCUGCCCUCACCACGGUGCUCGUAUUCGGUUACUUUGGCCUGCGUUCUGAAUAACGAGCCACCUGGGUGACCCAGGCACCCCUGGUGUUUGUCCCUGACUAGGCCCUCCCCUGAGCGUUCAUACAUGUACCAUGAUCAGGUUCGACCAAACGCGGAUCUGCAGCAUAUGUGGCAUGUCUUGUCCUUGUCUUUCUCUGUCACUUAUCGUGGUUCUGAAUGAUGUGUUUUGGGGUUUGCCUAUUUUGUGUUUGUUCAAUUAAAAUUACUGCUGUCCUUGCGGGCCAUAA